AUUAAAAGGUUAAUAUAUAGAUCAUGAUUUUAUUUUGUAUCGAAUAUGAGGAGCAGGACUUGUAUGCUAUUAGAAGUACGAGGGCCUCCGUACUCCUAAACUGCUUUCGAUAAGUAGAAUCCGUUAAUUUUAAUUUAGUGUAUUUGAAGUAUCUAAAAAAUAAAGUUGUAAUUUUUCAAUAUCGAUCAUUUAUGCAGUAAUCAAAAUAACUUAAAAUGAACGAUUGAAAAUAAAAAUCUUAUAAAAAGUUAUAAUUAAUGUCGCACUAAAAACUUUGAUAAAAGAUGUUAAUCUUGCUGUAGAUAGUAUACAAAUUUUUUUUUCAAAAUUUUAUCUUAUUUGAAUACUUUUGCAUUGUUAAAUUCACAAACAGAUACAUCAACUAUUAAAAAAUAUUGAUUUUGAACACCUUGAUCAUUAGGUAAAUGAUAUAAAAAAAUCGCAAAAAAAUAUUUUUAGAUACUUCAAAUAUGCUAAACCAAAUCUAACAGGGUUGAUCAUCGAUUCGAAAGUUAAAUUAUCAAAAACGGCUUAGAAGCACGAAGUUCUCUAUGCUUCUAAUAGUACGUAAGUCGAUCCUACUCCUAAUAUGAGACUAUUAUAAAGAAACUUUUCAACUCUAGCUUUACAGUAUGUAGCAUUCAAUAUUUAAUAAAGUUUGGACGUCCAAAAAUAUGUGCACAUAACAUGCAUGCAUUGUUACGCUGCACUUAUGAUCGCACUAGGGGCCGUUUGGAUGCAUGGAGUUAGAGAGCGAGAAAUUUAUAAAUUUCUCAA
rnacentral:lncRNA from 1 species